ACCAGGAUGGCGGAGUGGUUAAGGCGUUAGACUUAAGAUCUGAUGGAUAAAUCUCCUCGUGGGUUCAAUCCCCACUCCUGGUA